rnacentral:lncRNA from 1 species
UUACUAAGUGAAGAGUUCCAUCUUUAGGUUUGGCCACUCCCAUUACAAACAUAUAUAGUCUCGUCCAUAAAGGAUAGCCUAUAUCCCUUAAUUCCUUGGGCUACCCCAUCUUUAGGAUGGUGAUGCACCCAAAAUCAAGAUAGGCUUGAUCUUGGAGGCUAUGGGUUUGCCUAUGGCCAUCUCCCACUUAAUCUUUUGAUAUUAGAGCUUUUAAAACAUUAGUAAUUAC